CGAUGGAUCAGUUCCGUAAUACACAACAAAAGCGUCUUUGAACGAAAAAAGAAUCCACUCAUUAACAUAACAAAGAUACAGACCCGGGACAACGGAUGUCUUGGCUCCCCAAACGAAGAAGAACGUGGCAUAAUGUGAUAAGUGACAGGAGUUGCAGACAUCGUGACUAGUUCAAUCUUUGAAUGCAAAUUGCGCCCGAAUCCUUCUGGAGCAGGGCAUAUUGCGUGCAGUGACCCAUUUUGUCGGAGGACGCUGUAAGCACAGCGAAACUACAAAAUAACACAUCGGGUCCCGCACGUAGUAGGAACACCCGCUGAACUGAAGCAUCUCAUUAAGCGGAGGAAAAGAAACUAACAAGGAUUCCUUCAGUAAAGGCGAUCGAAGAAGGAAGAGCUCGACCCCUAACCCGCUCGCGAGAGGGGGGAUGUGGGGACGCGAUCUUUGCGGCGGGGGAAAUUGUGCGUUGACGGCCAACGAAACAGAGUAAUAGUCUCGUUCCCCUUUGCAAGCACGGUUGCGGAAAUCGAGUCGGGUAGCUUGAGAUUGCUGCCUCAAGUCGGUGGUAUGACCCAUCGAAGGCUAAAUAGGUUGGGGAGACCGAUAGCGAACAAGUAGUGUGAACGAAAGAUGAAAAGUACUCCACGACGGAGCGUGAAAAAGCACCUGAACUUGUCCCGGGGAAGGCAAUUUAUUGCACCCGUCUUGAAACACGGAUUAGGGAGUUUAUCGGAGCUGCGAGUCUUCGCUUGUGAAAAAGCGGGGGCGGAAAGAAACUGACUGGUAUCGACAUGGCUGGGGAGCAGCCCCGCUAGAACCCGAAUGGUGGUGAACUAUGCCUGCACAGGGCGAAGUCAGGGGAAACUCUGAUGGAGGCCCGUCGCGUUAUUGAUGUGCAAAUCAUUCGUUAGAUGUAGGUAUAGGUGCGAAAGACUCAUCGAACCACCUAAUAGCUGGUUUCCCC
rnacentral:misc_RNA from 1 species